rnacentral:piRNA from 1 species
UGCACUGAUGAAACUAGAAAUAGGAAGU